rnacentral:rRNA from 1 species
GAUAAACGCUGGCGGCGUGCCUAAUGCAUGCAAGUCGCACGGGAGCGCCUUCGGGCGUCGACCGUGGCGGACGGGUGAGGAACACGUGGCUAACCUGCCCGGACCUGGGGGAUACCCGCCGGAAACGGCGACUAAUACCGCAUGGACUUGCCUGGGGGGACCGUGGGCGAAGGAAAGGUUGCAAGACCGGGUUGGAGGGGGCCGGCGGCCGAUUAGCUAGCUGGUGGGGGUAACGGGCCUACCAGGGCGGUGAUCGGAGCUGGUCUGAGAGGACGGCCAGCCACCACGGGGACGUGAGACACGGCCCCGACCUCCUACGGGAGGCAGCAGCAAGGAAUUUUCUUGCAAUGGGCGGCAAGCCUGACAGAGCAACGCCGCGUGGGGGAGUGACGCACUUCGGUGU